AAUGUCAUAUUUUGGAGAUUUGCCCUUAAAAAUAAAAAUAUAAUUAUUCUAUAUACUGUGUUAUUAUCAAGGCAAAUCAAAGCUAUAGAAAAACAAAAAAACUCUCCAAACAUCUUUCUAUUUUUUAUUCAUGUCUUAAUAAUUUUUUAUAUUACGUCUUCAAAUUAAUUCUUCCGCCAAAGUCUAUCCUCAUCAAUUAAUUCAUAAACUGGAAAAAUCGGUGUACAACAUAUAAUAAAAUCUUAAUUUAAAUAAACAAUGAAAUUUGAUUUUUUCAUAGCUAAUCAUCUAAAAUUAAAAUAUUUAAAAGCAUUUUCCGCGCGUAGCGCGGACAAAGAUUCUAGUAGUUCUAAUAUUUUAAAGAUUUACGCCACAUAGGCAUAUACUUUAAAUAUAUUGCUUAUAUUUUCAUUUAACUCUAGUGAAAUUACAAAUAAAACAAAAUUUAAAAUAUUUAGUGAAAGUAAGAAAAAAUGAUUAAGAUGAAUAUUUUUUGUAAUUUUCUUGUAUUAAUGCGAAAAGAAUAUAAAUCUUAAGAUAUUUCAAUAAAUAUCUGACGACAUAUAUAUCUAUAAAUAUAGAUAUAUAUAAUUAAUAAACAAAAUAUAUUUGUUCAUUCUAUAUUAUAUCAUUCUAGCAUUUAGCACCAAAGCUAGGAAACUUAAAACCAGAAGGACAUUGUUUAUCGAUAUUUAAGAAGAAGAUCUCCUCCACUGAAAACAAACAUAAAAUAAACUAGAAAAUGAUUACAAAUCAUAAAGAAAAUGCAUAUAUCAAGGAGCUACAAAGUGAAGAUCAGAAAUAUAAAUAAAUGAGAAAGAAACAAUUUUAUUGACAUCGAAUGGACAAAAGGUGGAAUAAGAAGGGACCAUCGUCUCCAUUUUCAGAAGUCCUUUGGUGUUUGUGGUAUCACUUAAUAAAAAUAAAUUUGAUCCCAAAUACUUACAUUAAGGUCUUGGUCCUGCGGUAGUCUUUGGAUCAACUUUCUUUACUAAUACUAAAGUACAUAUGAUUUGAGUGGACGCAACUAAAAUAGCAUCUCAGGGACUAACACGUCAAACGUAACAAAUAUAAUUAGUGCAUCAGUAAUUUGAAAUUCUAGUCUAAAUAAGAUGAAACUUGGAGGCUGGAGCGACAAAUAAAAGAUAUGUGCUAGUCUAUUUUUUCUGUUGACUGAGCCCUCCUUUUAUAGUUGGGAAGUGUUCCGACGACAAAAGAUAGUUCGUCGUCCUUGUUGUCAAGGUUAUAUAUUCAUUUUAUCGGGUUAAGUCAUAUAUUCCCUGUAACAUAGAUGCAGCUCGCUUCAUCCUAAAGCAUUAUAUACCGUUUAAGCACUGUAAUGACCCACCUCCACUAUCCCCACUAUCUCCACCAUCUCCACCAUCCCCACCACUCCCACCAUCUCCACCAUCCCCAACUUCUUUAAAGAGAAAGAGAGAGAGGGAGAGAGAGAGAGAAAGAGAGAGAAAGCUCACCUGAGCUCGUCGCCGGAGCAACCGUGUGCCGUGAUCACGUUCAGCUUGCCACCCCCGAUAAACGCCCUAGGCCAUCAUCGUGUUCCUCUCGUCGAGACGAAGCCGUAGACACCAACCACGCCUCAAACGGAGCCCGGACGAAGCCGCACGCGCCUCCCGAAGAUUCGCCCCGGCGCGCGCGUGAAACGCACGCGCCACCGCCUUCCGCCGGAGCCACCGCGAGUUCCGGCCACGCGCCGCCGUCUCCGACCAAUGUUCGCCGGAGCUGCCGUGACCGACCACCGUCCGUCCGCCGCCGAGAAGCCGCCGCCGCGUCGCCGCCUCGCCGCCGUCGCCGCCGUUGAUUUACCGAUUUGGAGUCCAUUUGAGCAGCUGGAGUUCAUAGAUAUCUCUUAUUAUUGCUAAGGUGAGACCAAUGAGCAGGAGUGAUUAUCGGACCGGUGCUAUUGGGCUUUUGGGCUUCUAUCGCUUUUACCGCUUUUAUCUUUAUCGGGCCUUUAGGCCUUUGGACUUUUAUCGUCUAUGUUAUUCCUAUUUCAGACUUUCGGUUUAUAUCGUAUUUUAUAUUUCGGAUGUUAUCGAUGUUGGGCUUUUAGGCCUUUUGUUACCGUAUUGACUUUUAUAUUAUAUGAAGAUUAUUAUUA